UAAGGAAUAUUGGUCAAUGGACGCAAGUCUGAACCAGCCAUGCCGCGUGGAGGAUGAAGGCCCUCUGGGUUGUAAACUUCUUUUCUCUGGGACGAAACCCCCGAUUUCUAUCGGGCCUGACGGUACCAGAGGAAUAAGCACCGGCUAACUCCGUGCCAGCAGCCGCGGUAAUACGGAGGGUGCAAGCGUUAUCCGGAUUCACUGGGUUUAAAGGGUGCGUAGGUGGGCAAGUAAGUCAGUGGUGAAAUCUCUGGGCUUAACCCGGAAACUGCCAUUGAUACUAUUUGUCUUGAAUUCUCUGGAGGUAAGCGGAAUAUGUCAUGUAGCGGUGAAAUGCUUAGAUAUGACAUAGAACACCCAUUGCGAAGGCAGCUUACUACGGAGACAUUGACACUGAGGCACGAAAGCGUGGGGAUCAAACA
rnacentral:rRNA from 1 species